rnacentral:rRNA from 1 species
UGAGGAAUAUUGGGCAAUGCCCGCAAGGGUGACCCAGCAACGCCGCGUGGAGGAUGAAUGUCGUAAGAUUGUAAACUCCUGUUAGAGGGGAAGAAUAGUACCGGUUGGACCGGUAUAUGACUGUACCCUCAGAGAAAGCCCCGGCUAACUACGUGCCAGCAGCCGCGGUAAUACGUAGGGGGCAAGCGUUGUCCGGAUUUACUGGGUGUAAAGGGCGCGCAGGCGGGAUAAAAAGUCAGUGGUGAAAUCCUACAGCUUAACUGUAGAAAUGCCUUUGAUACUUUUAGUCUUGAGUUCGGGAGAGAGAGACGGAAUUCCAGGUGUAGUGGUGAAAUACGUAGAGAUCUGGAAGAACACCAGUUGCGAAGGCGGUCUCUUGGUCCGAUACUGACGCUGAGGCGCGAAAGCGUGGGGAGCAAACA